GUUACAAUGGCAGGUACAGAGGGAUGCUACCGGGCGACCGGAUGCGGAUCUCGAAAGCCUGUCCCAGUUCGGACUGGAGUCUGCAACCCGACUCCACGAAGUUGGAUUCGCUAGUAAUCGCGCAUCAGCCAUGGCGCGGUGAAUACGUUCCCGGGCCUUGUACACACCGCCCGUCAAGCCAUGGGAGCCGGGGGCGCCUGAAGUCCGGGACCGCGAGGACCGGCCUAGGGCGAAACUGGUAACUGGGGCAAAGUCGUAACAAGGUAGC
rnacentral:rRNA from 1 species